CAAAGCGUAAUAUGAACAUCUCAUACGUGCAAACAUCCAUUUUUAGUAAUGUUUUUGAUCCUUGGAAAAAAGUUUUGCAAUUAGUUAUUAAAAAAUCACAUUUUUCGAAAAAAAUCAAUUUUACGUCGGUUUUGUUAAGAAAAUUAAAAUAGGACAUUUUGUUAAGUCAUUCCGGAAAGUUUCGUGUUACUUUCGACGGGUGCGUUACGGCAUGUUACGAGGCGCCGUGACACUUACGUCAAAUAUUUUACGUCAUAUUGUCAGCUGGCAUGUUUCUUACGUCUGUUGUUUACGUCGGCAGGAAACAUCAGAUGUUACUUAGGACAAAUGCCCAGCGUGGGUGGUUUGUUGAUUAGCAGCAGUGUUUCGCGUGUAUAAGGCAAUCUAGCGCUCAUAACCCUUCUCUCUCAAGCAGACACAGAAGAUAGCAAUUUUUUGUUUAAUAUUUUCAUACGGAAACGUUUCCGUAUGAAAACAAACCUAUCCUCCUCGGGAGCGAAACAGAGAAAGGAGAUCAAACGUCAGAUAGCCUUAUUGUACACUGGAGGCUCGAGUACCGUCCACCAACUCACCGGAGGACUGAUAGGUCUGGAGGAGAGGCCAUCGACCAAUCAUUAUGUACCAGAUCAAGCUGCUCAACGAAAAGGAAGUCAGCCAAAGACCGAAGAUAUGUAGGAUGAUAAAUGGACAAGGAAGUAUACCGAAGACGAUGAACUUAACAGGGCCAAGUUCAUCUACAAUCACUACGUUGACGACAACUCCCACAAAAAAUACGACAAAUUUUACAAAUCCCUGAUCAACGACUGGCCAUCAAACGCUUUUCCAUUGGUAGGCAGUUGGGCAUCAAUCUCUACUCGAUGUAAAAUGAGCAACAUCACUUUGAACAUUUGCCGAGUCUUCACCAUGGAUAACUGCGAGAAGCUGAGACUACCUGAAUUUCGUGAAAGGUGUCGAAUCAGAUUUACCACUAGAACCAUCCACUAGAACCAUCAAGAAAUCCCCGACACUGUUUGAGUAACUCUUCGAAGAGAACUUAGAAGAAUUUCUUCGAUCAGUACAGCAAUAGCCAGUGUUGGAAAACUCACACUCAAAGCACUCUCAUGAACCGCUCCUGCGUGAGCAAACUCGCACGCGAUUCUGAAUCGUUUUCUCACGCGCGAGAAUUUCAUGCAAAAUCUCGCUCUCACGAGUCAAGCGCCGAAAUCUCGUUCGCUUGUAAAACGAAUUCAAAUCAAUUUGAACAGCAUUUAAUGUUGUUGUACGCUAGAUUUUCUUUUGUUCUAUCAUACAAUCCUAAAAACUUUGAUGUAAAUAUUAGGAAUACCAAGAAAUGAUGCAAUGAGCGAAAUCAUGAGUCCACUCAUGCAUGAUUUUUUCGGCGGUGAGUUUGGCGAGUCAAGAAUCGCGCGUGAAACAACUCAACCAUGAGAUUUGAGAAUUUGAGUUUUUACCAACACUGGCAAUAGCUUGUCCAUUACGAAGGAAAGCCUGGUGUAAGGCUGUCAGAAGACAAAGUGAUUGUGUAAAAAGGACAGAAACGACAUUUUUCAGAUCAUGUUGAUGUUCAAGAUAACAGUUUUUGUUCUGCAAGAAGUUGGCGUGCCACCUCCUAACUGCAUGGUAAAACUGGAGCUUAAAAUUGACGAGUACCACCGAAGGAGCUGCCAUAUCUAGGUGGCAAUAUAGUUGCCACUGCUCCUAGACUGCGUCGAAAUACUCAAAUACAUUUCAAAGUUGAUUGAGGCUUAACUAAUGAUCUAUUAUUUGUUUUUAUUUAUAAUCGGAAAAGAAAAUCAGUAAUAUAAUAAAUAAUAAUACUAAAAACUAUAUCAAACUGUUUGACUCAAUAAUCGAAAUAUUUUAUCAUUGUUCCAAUAGAUGAUAUCUCAUUCAAAUCAUGUGGGAUAAUUCGGUUUCAACAGGUUUAGAUUACUAAUGAGUAGACGACGAAAUCUACUCAUUAGUAAUCUAAGUUGAAAGUCGAAAAAUUCAUAAAAUAUAAGACAUGCUUUUUGACAAGAAAAAAGAGACCCAUCUUCCGGGGUUUUAUGGCGGGCUAAGGUGGGCCAUCUUUUGAAUUGCCCCACUUCAAUCAAGUACCUAUCAAAGCUUCUGAUAAUGUGAUGUGUAAUGGAAUUCUGGUAAGGGGUUUUAAUAUUGGUUAAUAUUGGUAUUUAAUCUAAUAUUAAAGGAUUUCGUCAUUAAUUCCAGUUUUAAAAAAUACAUCCAACAAUUAAAGUUCAAACUUCUAUAAAUAAAACAUAAUUGUAAACUGCAUGUUUAACAAAAAGUGCUGGAAAGGGUAGCAGAAAUUGCAAACCAAGUUGUGGUAGUAAUUAAAUUACUAAAUAUUUUUUUUAUUAAACAUUUUUAAUAUAUUUAAUCUCUAAUGUUGCAAGAGACUUGUCAAUAUGUGAAAGCUUCUCUUCCAGCCUUUUCUUUCUAAUGUUUAUUUAUUUAAGAGAGUAAGAAAAAGCUUCGCACGCUAGUGCAGUUCAUUCGA